GACGAACGCUGGCGGCGUGCUUAACACAUGCAAGUCGAACGGAAAGGCCCUGCUUUUGUGGGGUGCUCGAGUGGCGAACGGGUGAGUAACACGUGAGUAACCUGCCCUUGACUUUGGGAUAACUUCAGGAAACUGGGGCGAAUACCGGAUAGGAGCUCCUGCUGCAUGGUGGGGGUUGGAAAGUUUCGGCGGUUGGGGAUGGACUCGCGGCUUAUCAGCUUGUUGGUGGGGUAGUGGCUUACCAAGGCUUUGACGGGUAGCCGGCCUGAGAGGGUGACCGGCCACAUUGGGACUGAGAUACGGCCCAGACUCCUACGGGAGGCAGCAGUGGGGAAUAUUGCACAAUGGGCGGAAGCCUGAUGCAGCAACUCCGCGUGCGGGAUGACGGCCUUCGGGUUGUAAACCGCUUUCGCCUGUGACGAAGCGUGAGUGACGGUAAUGGGUAAAGAAGCACCGGCUAACUACGUG
rnacentral:rRNA from 1 species